CCUACGGGAGGCAGCAGUGGGGAAUAUUGCACAAUGGGGGAAACCCUGAUGCAGCGACGCCGCGUGAGUGAAGAAGUAAUUCGUUAUGUAAAGCUCUAUCAGCAGGGAAGAAAAUGACGGUACGUGAGUAAGAAGCCCCGGCUAACUACGUGCCAGCAGCCGCGGUAAUACGUAGGCGGCGAGCGUUAUCCGGAUUUACUGGGUGUAAUGGGAGCGUAGACGGCAGUGUAAGUCUGGAGUGAAAGGCGGGGGCUCAACCCCCGGACUGCUAUUGAUACUGUACGGCUGGAGUGCAGGUGAGGUAAGUGGAAGUCCUGGUGUAGCGGUGAAAUGCGUAGAUAUGAGGAAGAACACCAGUGGCGAAGGCAGCUUACUGGACUGUAACUGACGUUGAGGCUCGAAAGCGUGGGUAGCAAACAGGAUUAGAUACCCGUGUAGUC
rnacentral:rRNA from 1 species